rnacentral:rRNA from 1 species
GUGGGGAAUAUUGCACAAUGGGGGAAACCCUGAUGCAGCAACGCCGCGUGAGUGAUGACGGUCUUCGGAUUGUAAAACUCUGUCUUCAGGGACGAUAAUGACGGUACCUGAGGAGGAAGCCACGGCUAACUACGUGCCAGCAGCCGCGGUAAUACGUAGGUGGCAAGCGUUGUCCGGAUUUACUGGGCGUAAAGGGAGCGUAGGUGGAUAUUUAAGUGGGAUGUGAAAUACUCGGGCUUAACCUGAGUGCUGCAUUCCAAACUGGAUAUCUAGAGUGCAGGAGAGGAAAGUAGAAUUCCUAGUGUAGCGGUGAAAUGCGUAGAGAUUAGGAAGAAUACCAGUGGCGAAGGCGACUUUCUGGACUGUAACUGACACUGAGGCUCGAAAGCGUGGGGAGCAAACAGGAUUAGAAACCCCGGUAGUCC